AAAUCAGGAAGUUGUCUUGUAUCAAAUCAGGCUGCUGGGGUAUUUGUUAUACACUGGCUGGCAGCAGCUCUCCAGGGUUUCAAACAGAUGUCUUUCUCAGCUUUACCUGGGACUUUCAGCAGGCAAAGCAGGUAGUCUCCCUCUGGACUGUGGCCCUUUCCCCGCCUAGCCUGACGAUUGAGAUCGAGCUUGUGUAUGAAUCUCCAGGUCAUGCUCUGAUGGGCAAAUGGCUGAGCCUCUAUGACCCAGCUAAUCUCAAUGCCGGACUAAGGGGCUAUGUGAAAGUUCACCUCUGUGUCCUUGGAGCUGGAGAUCAGGCGCCGGUAAAAAUCUUUACAUUACAACAUCUUCACCACCUCAACAGAGGCUUGUCACGGGCAUUCAAGUUCAUGUGAUGCCAUUGGCAGCUAUUAAAAUGAUGGGGUGCCUUGUUUGGAUCAUUUUUCAAGACUGGUAGGUCAGACGCCUGUGGGACGCGGGUGGCGCUGUGGGUAAAUCCUCAGCGCCUAGGGCUUGCCGAUCGCAUGGUCGGCGGUUCGAAUCCCCGCG